GCCUCGGUGGCGGAUGGCCCGCGUCUGCGACAGUUCAUUGGUUACUAUAUAUGGGUUAUGCAGAGGUCGCUCGUUUGAUUCGAGCCCGAGGCA